rnacentral:rRNA from 1 species
GACGAACGCUGGCGGCGUGCCUAAUACAUGCAAGUAGGACGCAGUUGCGAACGGGUGAGUAAAGCGUAGGUAACUACCUAUUAGAGGGGGAUAACUAUUGGAAACGCAAGAUAAUACCGCAUACUAGUAGAUGGCACUGCGUUGUAUUAGAUAGUAGGUAGGGUAAUGUGAUACCUAGGCAAAGAUACAUAGCCGACCUGAGAGGGUGAUCGGCCACACUGGGACUGAGACACGGCCCAGACUCCUACGGGAUGCAGGAGUAGGGAAUCUUCGGCAAUGGGGGGAACCCUGACCGAGCAACGCAGCGUGAGUGAAGAAGGUUUUCGGAUCGUAAAGCUCUGUUGUUAAGGAAGCGGUACUUAACCAGAAAGGGACGGCUAACUACGUGCCAGCAGCCGCGGUAAUUC